UAUAGCACUGAAAGCAUAAGCUAGCUAGCACUGCAGUGCAUAAAAUGUGGUGAGUAGUUGACUCAAAGAGAUAGAAAGACAACAGUUGAACAGUUUUGAACAAAUUAUUGCAUUCUUGAAGGAGGAGCAAGAGCGAGAGAGAGAGAGAGAUCGCUAGCUAUAUUUCGUCAUUUAUUUUCACUUUCACUUACUUACCAAAUCCAGUCAGCUAGUAUAGCCAACUCAAACACUCGGCUCAAACACCCGGCUCACACCUGCCUAUGACUAUCAAACACAGGAACUCUUCCAAGUCAAGCGGGACUGGACAUAUUGGUACAGGAUGGACAGGCACCUCCUCAGAGCAGAACCCCUGACUUUUCUUCUCUCUGGGAUUGAUGACCAAAGCAGAACGAUAACAAAAGAUCAGGAUGGAAACAGCUGUUCUUGUAGGCCAAUUGAGUCAACAAUCAAUAAAUGAAAUGGGAGCGUCAAACUGUGUCACCUGGAGUGUAUUCAUUCUAAAUGGGGCUCUUUAUUCAAAUAAAGAAAUAUGUAAAGUACCCCGCCCUUUCAACAACACCAGUUUCUUCCAACAACCAUAUUUUCGGAUAUCAAUUGACAUGAGGAUGGAAUUUAUGGCAACAUAAGGUCCUACUGCUUUUAGCGGCUCAACAAAACCUGGGUGAAAUCCACUGGUGACAAGCCUCAUCAUGAUAGAUAGACCACGCAGACGGACAGCACGGCCAUCACCACUGCCACGCUGCACAGCACCAGCACCAUGAAAAUCUGGCUGCGCUCGCAGCACUGCUGGCUUUGGGGACCUGCCUCCUCGUCCGUGGACAAGAGGCCCAAUGAGGCGCUGUCCGUGCUGGCCGGUUCGGCGUACUGGGGCCCGCGGGCAUCUACCAUCCAGCGCAGGACGUUGACCUUCUCCUCCAUGUCCUCCAGCAUGACAUCCACACGGGCAAUCUCCUCCUCCAGCUGGCUCUGCUCCAGAUCCUCCAGGCUGGCAGGAACCUGGUCCUCGGCACGGGUCAGGUCUGCCAAGCUGAGGGCCCGUGCUGUCACCUCACUGGUUUCCCCUGGAAAGUGGGAGAAGAGACAUGUGAGAAGAAGAGCUAGCCACGAAUGUUAAUAAGGUUACAUCAGCUUGUGGAUGCCCAGACUGUGAUCUAGACUAUAUGGAUGUAGACUGUAUGGGUGUAGACUAUACGGAUGCUUUUUUUUCAUUAUUCCUCUCUAAUCAGGGACUGAUGUAUACCUGAGACAAUAGGUGGGUGCAAGUAAUGAUCAGGUAGAACAGAAAACCAGCAGUACUUCGGACCGCCGUAGGUUAAGAUUUGAAUAACCCUGCUAUAGAGCUAAAGAGUGGCCGGUGGGUUUUUAUUAACUGCAGUUUAGGAUAGGUUUUGUGUGGAAACAAUAUGACAAAUUGCCCAUCUGAGUGUGGCACUUGCUAACCUUGUAUGCCAGUCUGCACUAAGGUGUUGUUAUUGAUCAGGGAGAAGUUGGAACCCAUGUUGAAGACUUUGCACAUGUCUGCGUGGAGGAGUUCCAGACUGGAGGUGAAGGCCACCCAGAGCAGUUCCAUCUCCUGUCUCUCCCCCUGGGGCAGUGUCUUAUCCCGUAGCCGUGCCGUGAGGUGGUGACGGCUGGCCACCGCUAACUUCUGGGCCUUCUCCCGCGUUAGCCGCAGCUCGUCACGCAGGUGCAAGCUGUCCGUGCACCCACCCACACACGAGGCCAGGUGGCGGUAACAUGCCACCACCUGUUGGCCAAUAGGGGAAAAAUAUUAUGUACAGAUCACUCAAGUAAAAACGAAACAAUUCAUACCGUAAUAUCAUUUUCAUACAAUUACUAAGGGUUGACUGAUUAGACACAAUAUACAGCAUUUGUAUUGUAUUGUCUAAAUCUGUGAGAAUAGAUGAUGUGUGCUGGAAACAAUUGUAGGACUGUAGGAGAUAGAGAGACACAAUGGUGGUGAAUUGUUGUCUUUGCUUAGAUCUGCUGAUUUGAUUUGAUUUGACAAUUUUAAAUACAUGAAAAUGUUACCCCUUGCAACAGAUACAUAUACCAAAAUCUGUCGUCAAGGAUAUAAACACAAUAUCGUCUAAAUCCAUUGUGUCUGUAGGUCAGGAGACAAGCAAUAGUCCUUCAUGAAAAAUGUGCCGUGUUUUGUAAACACCACUGGUCUGCAAAUGGUCUUAGGUUAAAUGUAUGUAUUUACAAACUGCGUAAUUUUGUGGUGUGGGUGAGAUUAUAAAAGACAGUGGUCGAUUGUGUAAAAACGUAUGAGGGUUUCAGUUUAAAACCAGAAACAAGAUGCACUUUUUUUUGUUGCCUUAUUCUAAUACUGUGUCACAUAUAAGUUGUCUGACGGACAUGAUGCUUAAGAUCGGCAUAGGUAUGUAGCAGAAAUGACUAUUAAAUACUGGUAAACAAUUCACUUCAAUUUUUAUUUGAUAAUUCAAAAUCACUCCCACUCCCUCUCCCUCCUUUAGAUGAGGCCAUGCCACAUACAUUUCUCCAACCUCAUCCCUCAGCUUUAGAAGCUGGGCUGCCAUUGAGCUAAAUCACACAUU